AACUUUCAACAACGGAUCUCUUGGUUCUGGCAUCGAUGAAGAACGCAGCGAAAUGCGAUAAGUAGUGUGAAUUGCAGAAUUCAGUGAAUCAUCGAAUCUUUGAACGCACAUUGCGCCCCUUGGUAUUCCAUGGGGCAUGCCUGUUCGAGCGUCAUUUGUACCCUCAAGCUUUGCUUGGUGUUGGGCGUCUUGUCCCGCGUUGUCGCGUGGACUCGCCUUAAAGCGAUUGGCAGCCGGCAUAUUUGGCCUUGGAGCGCAGCACAUUUUGCGCCUCUUGCCUUGAAUGUUGGCGUCCAUUAAGCCUAUUACAUUUUGCAUUUUGACCUCGGAUCAGGUAGGGAUACCCGCUGAACUUAAGCAUAUCAAUAAGCGGAGGAAAAGAAACCAACAGGGAUUGCCCUAGUAACGGCGAGUGAAGCGGCAACAGCUCAAAUUUGAAAUCUGGCUCUUUUAGAGUCCGAGUUGUAAUUUGCAGAGGGCGCUUUGGCGUCGGCAGCGGUCCAAGUUCUUUGGAACAGGACGUCACAGAGGGUGAGAAUCCCGUACGUGGUCGCUAGCCUUCGCCGUGUAAAGCCCCUUCGACGAGUCGAGUUGUUUGGGAAUGCAGCUCUAAAUGGGAGGUAAAUUUCUUCUAAAGCUAAAUACUGGCCAGAGACCGAUAGCGCACAAGUAGAGUGAUCGAAAGAUGAAAAGCACUUUGGAAAGAGAGUCAAAUAGCACGUGAAAUUGUUGAAAGGGAA
rnacentral:misc_RNA from 1 species